rnacentral:lncRNA from 1 species
UGUCCUUUCAAUAGCUUCAGUAGUAUCCUGAUGUCAUUAAAAGGCCACAGGUGGCACUGGAGAUGUGGUUGGACGAGAGAAUGGGUGCUUAGCAUACACAAAGCUCUGCUUUUGUUCCACAGAAGCAUGUAGAGGGAGCAGAGGUUUUCUAUUCUUUUCACAGCUUAAAGGCAAAUAUAGAUGGAUAAGCAAACAGAGGUCACUAUUGCCUUCACAGCCAAAGCGGCUGUGUGAGAUAUAUGUGGAGAUGCUGGUUGGAGCCAUUUGAUGGCAUUCAGCUUUGUGUGUCCCCCAAGGAGAAGAAAGAAUCCUCCAGCAGGUCUGGGUUGUGCUUCUGGCCGUACAACAUCUGUGGAGAAGAAGGAUGUCAUGUGGAAUUUACAACAGAUCCUAAUGGGAGAGUCUCCCUAUCGAUACCCAAGAUUGUGGAGAUGUACAGAAAUUAUGCACCCGCUGAAAGCCAAAUCUUGGCAUAGUCUUGGAACCUGAUUUCCCCUACCUGGCAUGUGCCAUCAGGUGGUAUGUUUGGGAGAGGUUGCUGUGUGUAACUCCUUUGGGCUGCGAAGCAGAAAACAGGACUGAAGGCCUGGGGAACUUAAUCCAGAACUCUGAGCACCAAUUGCAUGAAGAAACCACCUGGGAAGCAUUUGUGCUGCCCUUUCAAAAGGGUUAGCUUCCCUUCAAUUCAGCCAAGCCAGACACAACUCCUGAUGUCAGUUUCACGGCGAAGAUCUUGACAGGAGGACUUCAGCUCUCAGGUGAUAUGAAAAGCUGUGAUUUCCACUUCUGAUCAUUUCUCAUAUUCCUGAAGCCAUAGAUGAAGGCAGGAUGUAUACGGAUUUUGAACUACUUUACUUACAUCACCUGCUUUAUAACCAGCCUUACCUGAUUUGUUGGCAUCAGUGUAGAAGCUGGUGGGAGUAGAAGCAGACACCCAUAACUAAUCACCGAACUGAACUGGAACCCAGAUGCAGAGAAGGACCAGUGAAGACCACAGAGGUCCAGACCAGGCUGGUGAAACCCACAGAAACAGCUGACCUGAUCAUCCGGGAACUCUUGCUCCCCAGUCUGAUAGCUGGAAUACCAGCAUGGGACUGAUCCAGACCCCAGGAACAUGGGUUUCUGUAAGGAA